UGGGGAAUUUUGCACAAUGGGGGCAACCCUGAUGCAGCGACGCCGCGUGAUUUAGAAGGCCUUCGGGUUGUAAAAAUCUUUUGUAUGGGAAGAAAAUGACAGUACCAUACGAAUAAGGACCGGCUAAUUACGUGCCAGCAGCCGCGGUAAUACGUAAGGUCCGAGCGUUGUCCGGAAUCAUUGGGCGUAAAGGGUACGUAGGCGGAUAAGCAAGUUAGAAGUGAAAUCCUAUAGCUCAACUAUAGUAAGCUUUUAAAACUGCUUAUCUUGAGGUAUGGAAGGGGAAGUGGAAUUCCUAGUGUAGCGGUAAAAUGCGCAGAUAUUAGGAGGAAUACCGGUGGCGAAGGCGACUUUCUGGCCAAAAACUGACGCUGAGGUACGAAAGCGUGGGUAGCAAACAGG
rnacentral:rRNA from 1 species